UACGUAGGGGGCGAGCGUUAUCCGGAUUCAUUGGGCGUAAAGCGCGCGUAGGCGGCCGCCUAAGCGGAACCUCUAACCCCGGGGCUCAACCUCGGGCCGGGUUCCGGACUGGGCGGCUCGAGUGCGGUAGAGGAGAGCGGAAUUCCCGGUGUAGCGGUGGAAUGCGCAGAUAUCGGGAAGAACACCGGUGGCGAAGGCAGCUCUCUGGGCCGUCACUGACGCUGAGGCGCGAAAGCUGGGGGAGCGAACAGG
rnacentral:rRNA from 1 species